GUACCGGCAGCGUGUCAUUUCAUCUUAGUCUAGAAGUAGAGAUGCCAUUUGGUAUGGAUAAGCUUUUGGAGUCAGGCAGCAUCUUUGGAAGGAAGGAGACAGUCAAGGGAAACUGAAGAGUGACUACAAGGUUUUCGUCUCAUAGAGGCGGUUAAGGUAGCUGGACAGUACUGGACCCAUCACAAUUUCAAUACUGGGAAGAGAAAAGCCAGUCCUCUGGGGAAAGAUGAAGCACUGGACCUACAAACUAACUACUUUCAACCCCUGGAUGAAUCUAGGAGAUUAGUCCCGAUAUCAAGGCAAUGUCAAGAGUGAAGGGGAGGAUCAAGAUUUUUUUUGAGUGAUUGUUUCCUGGAAGGAGAAAAAAAAAUAACAAGAAAAUGACCAUGGAAAGUAACAACAACUGAAAACGGAUAAAAUGAAGAUGUGUGAAAGAGCACAAGAGUGCAAAACCAAAAGUAUACAAGGAGUGUUUAUGCAGUAACCACUUUAGAAUGCCUUUCCUCAUGUUUGAAGACUUCUAAACUAGGGCAAGGACAGAUCCCAGCAACUACUGGAAGCAUAAUAAAGGAGAAGAAUGAGGCAUUUUCUUCUCUCAUAUACAGAUUAUAUGUAAUUAGGAUGCUAAGGAUAAUUUUGUAACAUAAAAACGGAGAUGCUAAGGAGAAUGGUUUCACCCUAGUUUAUAGAAGGAGGGUAUACUAUGGUCUAUCAAAGACUGAAAAUUGUCCUCUGCUAAUAAAGUCUCAAAUCAGGGCAAUUGGAUUUCUUUCUUUUUUUUUUUUUAUUAUACUUUAAGUUUUAGGGUACAUGUGCACAAUGUGAAGGUUUGUUACAUAUGUAUACAUGUUCCAUGUUGGUGUGCUGCACCCAUUAACUCAUCAUUUACAUUAGGUAUAUCUCCUAAUGCUAUCCCUCCCCACUCUCCCAGCCCCACAACAGGUCCUGGUGUGUGAUGUUCUCCUUCCUGUGUCCAUGUGUUCAAUUCCCACCUAUGAGUUGAGUUAGAGUUACUAGUCUCAAAUAAAUGCUUGGUAAUGCCAUACAAUCUAAACAUGUUGUCACUGUCAACUCACUAUCUCAUAUUCUGCAAUGAUACCCUUCUAUAUUCUGAAAUUCCUUCCCCAUUCUCAGCAGAUAGCCUCAGAUCAUAUAUCAUACACACAAUUGAACAUAUCACAUAGAAAUUUCAUCAGCUCACUGCCUCCAAUCCAAUGAACCUAACAUCUACUAACAUCAACACCAUCCAGGAAACCAUGACCUCACCAGAUGAACUAAAUAAGGCACCAGGGAAAAAUACCAGUGAAACAGAGACAUGUGACCUUUCAGACAGAUAAUUCAAAAUAGCUGUGUUGAGGAAACUCAAAUUCAAGAUGAUACAGAGAAGGAAUUCAGAAUUAGAUAAAUUUAACAAAGAGAUUGAAAUAAUUAAGAAUCAAGCAGAAAUUCUGGAGCUGAAAAACGCAACUGGCGUAUUGAGAAAUGCACCAGAGUCUCUUAAUAGCAGAACUGAUCAAGCAGAAGAAUGAAUUAGUGAUGUUGAAGACAGACUAUUGGAAAUGCACAGUCAGAAGAGAAAAAAGAAAAAACAAUGAAGCACGCCUACAGGAUCUAAAAAAUAGCCCCCAAAGGGCAAAUCUAAGAGUUACUGGCCUUAAAGAGGGGGGGCUCAACACCCAAGUACAAAAAGGUUAGAGAACACCAAGUAGAUUUAAUCUAAAGAAGACUACCUUGAAUCGUUUAACAAUUAAACUCCCAAAGGUCAAGGAUAAAGAAAGGAUACUAAAAGAACCAAGAGAAAAGAAACAAGUAACAUACACUAGAGCUCCAGUACACCUGGUAGCAGACUUUUCAGUGGAAACCUUACACACCAGGAGAGUGACAUGGCAUAUUUAAAGUGCUAAAGGGUGGAAAAAAAGCCUUUUACCCUGGA
rnacentral:lncRNA from 1 species